rnacentral:lncRNA from 10 species
GUCUUCUGCGUCGCUCACGCUGGGAGCCGUAGACCGGAGCUGUUCCUAUUCGGCCAUCUUGGCUCUUCCCCCGGUAUUUUGCCACUCUAUCAAGAAAGUUAAGGACUCUCAAGCUUUUGGAUGCUUAGAAAAUACAUCAGAGGAGGACAGAAACUCAGAUAUCUCUGCAUCCUGAAUUCAUUGGUGGAAUUGCUACUGUGCCCAGUAAAAGCAUUUCAGUCAUGCAAGGAGAGGAUGUUAAGGUAAAGGAAUGAAACCGAAGACCAGAAAGUGGUAAAAAGCAGCAGUGAAGAAACCAAAACUAAAACAAACCAGCAAAGACCAUAUUCAGCUCACAGCCUUUCAGGAACUGAAGAUCAUUGGCCCAGACUCUCCACUGAAUCCGAAGAAUGCUUUGCAGGGGAUGUUCAGAGGCUUACCUGAGAAUGAGAGAAAAAGAAAUGAGCAAAUGACUCCUGAUUAUCAGUGGGAGACAGGAAGCGACCAUUUAACAUCCAAAGGAAAACUCAGAGCUAAAACCAAGACUCUUGAUUUGAGAGACAGAGGAACCUGUGAUAUUCUUUGCAAAAUUUGUCAACUGUACACCCUGUGAAAAGAGAGAAGAGAACCAAAAGACCUCUCGAGCAAAAGAUAUUGCCACAAAGUCCUCCAGAAACCAUACCACUUCUUGACAGUGCAUGGAUUCUCUUCCAUUCCAUUAGCAUCAGUGAUACUUUUAAUGGGUGUGGAAGGCCGUGAGAACUGGAAGCUGUUCUGCCACUAUCAAAGGGGGCUCACCUGAUUUGGAAAAGUGAGCACUGGCAACACCCAUGCCCAACCGUGUUGUCAGUGGAAGUGAUCAUCUUGGACACAAGAUGUUGCUCUUGUUAAUUGCACUCUGCAAGUGGUAAGCAUCUGGACCUGCAUUUCAUUACAAAACUACCAAAACAGAAUUCUAUAUCCAGUGAAACUAUCCUUCAAAAAUGAAGGCUAAAUAAGGAUGUUCCCAGAUUAAUAAAGACUGAGAGAAUUUGCUGUUAGCAAAUCUACCUUCUAAGAAAUACUAAAGGAAGACCUUCAAUGCUGAAAGGAAAUGACACCAGAUCCAGAACUACGGGAAGAAAUGUAGAGCAACGGAAAAGGGCUGGGCCAUACAGUAUGUACUCAAGAUUUAGUAGUUAAUUGACUGAUUGAACUUUAUAGAGAAGUACAGAUACAAUAUUACGGAAAUUCAGAGGAGAGAAAUUACUAACAACUUGAGCAGGUGGAAAAGCAUUGAAGCUUGGUAGAGAAGAUGGUGGAACUGUGCAGCAUUGAGACAUGUCCAGUUGGAGAGAUAUGAAGCUGGGUGAAAGUAGUACAAGAGGAGGCAACUGAAUGUACAACGGCAAAGAGAAAGAAGAAUCAGUGGAUGUGCAGAGGAAAGAGUGUGCAGGGAGAUCUUUAAAAAGCAUCUAUAACCCACUGAAUAAGAUGGGUUAGAAGAUGAAGCUGCUGAGAAGUGCUGCAAAGCUGAUGGUAUUGAUAUCAACACAGACAUCAUAUGCUUUUGGGGAACAGUGCACUCAGUUGACACUUAUUCCUAAUAAAUUCAAACAGUGGAGAGUUCUCUAACUUAUUUUUAAAGUCUCUUUAAUCUAUACUUCCUAUUGUUGAAUGAUACAAAUUAGUUUCUUGAUCUCUGUUCAGAUACUGGGUUACAUACAAUUUUUGGCCAUUUAAGUAUACUGUAAAUCCCUCCAGAAAACUUUCUUAUAUUGUCUUGUGCUUCACAGCUAGUUUUCAGGCAUAUGUACUGCUUACAAAUUAGUUUGGUAUUUAAAAAGGAGUUGUGGCUUGAGUUACAAAGAUUUAAAGUUAAAGCAAUGCUCUUAAUAAUUUCUAUUUUCUCACUGAAUCAAUUCACACUAGACACCCCUUUAACUUCCAUAUACAUGAUCACUCACCUUCUGUCCAAAAAUCUAUUUUAGGAAAGAGCAGAAGUACAAGAGGACCUUGUAAACAAUACUACUAAUAUUAGUAGGAAUACGGCAAGGUUUAAGAGUGACAACUUUAGCUUCACUACUUUCAAGCUGCUUACUAGCUGGGACAAGUUGUAUAAAUUCUCCGAGCCCAUUUUCCUCAUUUAAAAAAGGGGCCAUAGACAUUUUUCCAAAGACAUACAAAUGGCCAACAAGCACAUGAAAAGAUGCUCAAUAUAGUUAACCAUUAGGGAAAUAUAAAUAAAAAACACAAUUUCAACCACAAUAGUACUACAUACACAUUAGAAUAAUUAUGUUAAAAAUAAAAAAAUAACAAGUGCUUUCAAGAAUGUAGAGAAAUUGGAACCUCUGCAUUACUGAUAGGAAUGUAAAAUGGUACAGUCUCUUUGGAAAGCAGUCUGAUAGUUCCUCAAAAGGUUAGACAUAGAAUGACCGAAUGACCCAGCAAUUCUACUCCUAGGUAUACACAAGAGAAAUGGAAACAUAUGUCCACACAUAAAUUUGUACAUGAAUGCUCACAGCAGCAUUGUUCAUAAGAGCCACAGAAUACAAAUGAUCAAAAUGUCAGUCAACUAACUAAUGAAUAAAUAAAAUGUGGUCGAUUAUUAUUUAGCAAUGAAAAGGAGUGAAGUACUUAUACAUGCAAUAACAAUGACUGAACCUUGAUAACACUAUGCUAAAUGUAAGAAGCCUAUCACAAAAGACCACAUGUUACAUAUUUUAUUCAUAUUAAAUAUCCAGAAUAGGCAAAUCUAUAGUUACAGAUAGUUGAUUAAUAACUACCUAAAGCUGAGGAUGGGGUGAGGCUGAGGGACUGAGGAGUGACUGUCAAUGGGUACAGAGUUUCUUUCUGGGGUGUUGAAAAUGUUAUGAAAUUCUGGUGAUGCUUGCACAACAUCGUGAAUAGACCAAAAAUCAUUGAAAUGGAUGUUUUAAAUUGCCAAUUGUACGGUAUAUGACUAAUAUAAUAAUAAAACUGUUAAAAUGAGGCAAGUAGUUGGGUUUAUCACAAAGAGUUGCUGGGAAAAUUAAAUAAAAUAAGCUAUAUAAAGUAUUUAAUAUAGUGCCUAGUACCCUGUAAGCAAUCAAUAAGUGACAGCUCCACCACCACCACCACUGCCACUACUACUACUACUGAUAUUAUCACUACAAAUAAUAAUAAUUAUUAUUAGUAGUAGAAUUAUUAUUAAAUAAGAUUAUAAUAAUAAUUGCUAUUCUUAGCAGUACUAGAAAUGUUAUUAAAUUAUACUAAGUAGAGUAAUAACAUUAUUAUUUGUAAUAGUAGAGCUGUUAUUAAAUAAUAAUUACUAUAGUUGUUAAUAUUAUUUAGCUGUCCUUAUUAGAAUGAUAGUUUUUUCCUAGGAUAGAGUUUGGGGUCUAGAUAAUGUUACCAUACCCAGUGUGCUAUAAUAAAAAGAAAAAACUUCGGAGUGAAACAGAUCUUGUUGAAAUCCCAUCUUUGUCACUUACUAAUUAUGUAACAUCAUGUAAGCUAUUUCACCUGUCUGUGGUUACGUUUCCUCAUCUGCAAAAUAAUUCAACAAUAUCUACUACUACUUUGAGCUCUUAUGAGUAAUAAGACACUGUAUGUGCAAAUACCCAUUUUAGUGCCUAGUACCUAGUAAAUUCUCAAAUAAUUUUGGUUUCAAAUAUAUGAAAUAAUGGUUUUGGCUUUUUAAAAAUAUGAUGAAACACCAUCAAACUUGUAUCAGUAUCUCAAUAAGACAUAAGCCUAAGCAAUGCCCCCAAACACCAAUGUAUGCAUAGAGGACUGGUUAACAAUCAUGCUAUUUAAGAGAUGUUCGUAAUCACAUUGUUAGAUUAUAACAGACACUAUUUAGUAAACUGUUAACUUUUUUCCCAUUUCAUUCUUAAAAAUCUCAAAACAAGCACAGCUGUUAUAGAAACUUAGACAAAGUAAGGGAACCAGUUUCAGUCUCACUCAAUACUGCAGCCAACUCUUAAGGAAAAGGCUUGGUCCAGAUUUUCCAAAGCUGUAAAUAAUGCACAUGGUAUAUGAUCUGGGCAAUAGAAUGGUUUUCAGUUUGGGGUAGCUCACGCUAAGCUUGUGCGUGUUAUCCUGAAUAAAUAGGUCUUUUGGAAACAACUCACUAACCCUAGAAUGUCUACAAGGGUGAGGAAAUUCUGCCAUGAACUAGCUCCCAUUACGUGUGCCAAGAAAACUGAGUUAGUUCAUAAUACCCUCCUUCUUACUCUCCAAAGUCUCCAUAGUGUUCAGUUAUUCAAGAUUACAUAAAAGUUUUUAAGGAGUUAUUUGAAACUAAGAGGGUAAGAAUAUGAUAUAAAAAAUUUAAAAAAUCCCUUGCUUCCACCAUUAUACACACAAUGCAUAUACCAAGUUAUGACUCCAGCUAAUGAAAUAACCAUGUAUUACUAUUUGCAUUAACAAUAAUUCUACUUCAUCCAUGUCCCUACAAAGGACAUGAACUCAUCCUUUUUUAUGGCUGCAUAGUAUUCCAUGGUGUAUAUGUGCCACAUUUUCUUCUUAAAGUAUAAAAAAAAAUAAAAAUAAAAAAAUAAAAAAUACAAUAAUUCUAGUUUGACAUUUAGCUCAGUUGUUGACUUGCUUUGGAUUGUUCAUUUUAUUUCAACUUUAGAAGGAGUUGAUUAAUUUUGUUAAACUUAAUUGAUUCAAGGGUAUCAUAAAUUUCCAUUUUUAGUAUUUGCCACAUUAAAGCAAAUGGUGGACAAUUUAUGAUUUCAAAAGGUUCUAUUCUUGGUAAUUCUUAAUUAUUUUCAGAUAAAUCUAGUAAUUGGGUUGAAGCUACAGAGUUUUGUCAUUGUUUUUAGUGAAAGCCUAAGCAUAUAGAACAUGAGGUCCUGCCACAAGAAAAAUCAUUUUCCUUUUUCCCUCUUUUGGCAGUUCUCAUAUUGCGAUGCAAUUCUACUUAUGCACAUCUGUUUCCCCACUAGAUUGAGAACUCCUUAAGGCCAAGAAAUUCAUUUAAUUCACCUCUGUAUUUUCAGGAGCUAAUAUGCUGGCAUCCAGUAAGAACUCAAUAAAUGUUUUUAGGUAAA